UACGCGGUGCUGUGCGGUCAGCCCAUGUCCAUCCUCGCGUCCACCGGUUCCGUCGUGACCUACACCGCGAUCCUCUACACCACCUGCGCCCAGUACGGCCUCCCCUUCUUCGGUACCUACGCGUGGAUCGGUAUCUGGACCUCCAUCCUCCUCAUGAUCGUCGCGGUCACCUCCUCCUCCAACCUCGUCCGCUUCUUCACCAAGUUCACCGACGAGACCUUCGCUGCCCUCGUCGCGUGCAUCUUCUGCGUCGAGUCCGCCAAGAAGAUCAUCAUGAUGUUCUUCAACCCCUCCAUCUCCUCCACCCUGGCCAUGGGCUCUGCGCUCACUGCGCUCGUCACCUGCGGCUCCGCCAUCGCCAUCUCCAACUUCAAGCGUUCCCCCUACGGCCCCGAGGGCGUCCGCAACCUCAUCGGUGACUUCGCGCCCACCUUCGCCAUCGCCAUCGGCUGCUUCUUCGGCGCGUGGCUCGCGGGCAACUACGGCUUCACCUUCGACGCCCUGUCCCUCCCCGCCUCCCUCGCGCCUUCCAUCGCGCGCCCCUGGGUGACCGACAUCAUGGCUGUCCCGACCUGGGUGAAGCUCGCGGCUCUCGCGCCUGCCCCCGCGUGCGCGAUCCUCCUGUACAUGGACCAGAACAUCACCACCCGUCUCGUGAACGCCUCCAAGGGUCUCAAGAAGCCCGGCGCUUACCACCUCGACAUGUUCUGGCUCUCCCUCAUCACCGCGGUCACCUCCAUCUGCGGUCUCCCCUGGAUCUGUGCGUCCACCGUGCACU
rnacentral:lncRNA from 1 species